rnacentral:rRNA from 1 species
UUGAUUGGUGCUUGCAUCAUGAUUUACAUUUGAGUGAGUGGCGAACUGGUGAGUAACACGUGGGAAACCUGCCCAGAAGCGGGGGAUAACACCUGGAAACAGAUGCUAAUACCGCAUAACAACUUGGACCGCAUGGUCCGAGCUUGAAAGAUGGCUUCGGCUAUCACUUUUGGAUGGUCCCGCGGCGUAUUAGCUAGAUGGUGGGGUAACGGCUCACCAUGGCAAUGAUACGUAGCCGACCUGAGAGGGUAAUCGGCCACAUUGGGACUGAGACACGGCCCAAACUCCUACGGGAGGCAGCAGUAGGGAAUCUUCCACAAUGGACGAAAGUCUGAUGGAGCAACGCCGCGUGAGUGAAGAAGGGUUUCGGCUCGUAAAACUCUGUUGUUAAAGAAGAACAUAUCUGAGAGUAACUGUUCAGGUAUUGACGGUAUUUAACCAGAAAGCCACGGCUAACUACGUGCCAGCAGCCGCGGUAAUACGUAGGUGGCAAGCGUUGUCCGGAUUUAUUGGGCGUAAAGCGAGCGCAGGCGGUUUUUUAAGUCUGAUGUGAAAGCCUUCGGCUCAACCGAAGAAGUGCAUCGGAAACUGGGAAACUUGAGUGCAGAAGAGGACAGUGGAACUCCAUGUGUAGCGGUGAAAUGCGUAGAUUUAUGGAAGAACACCAGUGGCGAAGGCGGCUGUCUGGUCUGUAACUGACGCUGAGGCUCGAAAGUAUGGGUAGCAAACAGGAUUAGAUACCCUGGUAGUCCAUACCGUAAACGAUGAAUGCUAAUGGGU